rnacentral:rRNA from 1 species
AUUGAACGCUGGCGGCAGGCUUAACACAUGCAAGUCGAGCGGGGUGAUGGUGCUUGCACUAUCACUUAGCGGCGGACGGGCGAGUAAUGCUUAGGAAUCUGCCUAUUAGUGGGGGACAGCAUCUCGAAAGGGAUGCUAAUACCGCAUACGUCCUACGGGAGAAAGCAGGGGAUCACUUGUGACCUUGCGCUAAUAGAUGAGCCUAAGUCGGAUUAGCUAGUUGGUGGGGUAAAGGCCUACCAAGGCGACGAUCUGUAGCGGGUCUGAGAGGAUGAUCCGCCACACUGGGACUGAGACACGGCCCAGACUCCUACGGGAGGCAGCAGUGGGGAAUAUUGGACAAUGGGGGGAACCCUGAUCUAGCCAUGCCGCGUGUGUGAAGAAGGCCUUAUGGUUGUAAAGCACUUUAAGCGAGGAGGAGGCUCUUCUGGUUAAUACCCAAGAUGAGUGGACGUUACUCGCAGAAUAAGCACCGGCUAACUCUGUGCCAGCCGCCGCCGUAA